CACACACACACACACACACACACACACACACACACACACACACAGAUUAUAGUGUACAAGUGCAACCAAAAAAGAACCAGAAGUUAGAGAGGGUAAGAUUUGAACUCUGAAUCAGUGAACAGUGGCCUCAAUUUUCAAAUGAGCUUAUGUUACUAUCCCUAUUUAUGGAUAGUAGAUAUGGUAUAGACUUGCAUUCAGCCCUUCAUUCAUGUCUUUAUUGUUCACACUAGUGAAGGGAGCAAAGAAGACAUAACCCAAAAAUCUUUCAAGGAAAAUACAUUUUAACAUUUACUCAUUAAUAUAGUUAUAUGACAUGUCCAAGAAAUAUACUUAUAAGCAAAUAAUGAAGACAUUGUAAAGCUCUUGGUUUUCCAUUACAAAAGUAAUCACACUGCCCAAAAGAGUAGUGUAGUAGGCGCUGGGAAUAUGGCCUAGUGGCAAGAGUGCUUGCCUCCCAUACAUGAA